GUGGCGGAGGCAGUACCAGGUAAACCUCGUCUCCGCCCGGCCAAGGAUGCCACCAAUCACGUUCACAGACGAAGAUUUGAAGGGGAUAGACCCAACCCAGGACGACCCCAUGGUGAUAUCGGUCGACAUCGAUAAAUUUACGAUCAAAAAGACCCUUGUGGAUCAAGGGAGCUCGAUCGACAUAUUAUACUGGAAGACCUUCAAAGCUAUGAGAAUACCGGAGGAGGAAAUGAUGCCCUACAACGACCACGUGGUCGGCUUCUCGGGGGAACGCGUAGGAACGAGGGGCUACAUAGAGUUGUACACAACGUUCGACAUGGAAGGGGCCAGCAAAACCCUCAAGAUCAGAUAUCUGGUUAUAAACGCCAACACGUCCUACAACAUCCUCCUUGGAAGGUCGUCCCUCAACAAGCUGGGAGCGAUCGUCUCCACGCCCCACCUAGCAAUGAAAUUCCCUUCUCUCUCAGGCAACAUCCUGACCAUCCACGUAGAUCAAAAGGUCGACCGAGAGUGCUACGCCGAAAGCCUACGAGUCGAGCCUACACAACAGAGGCCCAGCGGCAGCCGUUCACCCAAGCGCAAGAUCGCCGGCCGGGGGAGAAGUCCCCGCCGGCACUCACCCCAACCAAAGAAGGGCAUCACCAUGGCAGACCUGGACCCCAGGGAAAUCGAGCCAAGACUCGAAGCCAAGGACGAGCUACGCCAAGCCGAACUUGACGGGGAGAACCGGUAUACGAGCAUAGGCACGACAAUGGCCACCGCCGAUGCGGACUUCGUUCACCAAACUCUCAAGAGGAACAUAGACCUCUUUGCCUGGACGACUGCCGACGUACCGGGCGUCCAUCCGGACAUCAUCACCCAUCGCCUUUCGGUGUAUAAAGAAGUCCGCCCGGUAGCACAAAAGAAAAGAAACCGUGGGGAGGAAAAGCGACUGGCCGCACGAAGUGAGGCCGAGAAGCUCCUAAAAGCCGGCUUUAUAGCCGAGGCACGAUACUCCACUUGGCUGGCCAACGUCGUGAUGGUCAAAAAGUCAAGCGGCAAAUGGCGGAUGUGCGUAGAUUAUAAAGAUCUCAACAAGGCAUGCCCCAAGGACUCAUAUCCCCUUCCUAACAUUGAUCGGCUCGUAGACGGAGCGACCGGUCACAAAAUAUUGAGUUUCUUAGACGCCUACUCCGGUUACAACCAGAUCAGCAUGCAUCAUAGCGAUAGAGGUAAAACGGCUUUCACGACGGACGUCGCAAACUACUUUUACAAGGUAAUGUCGUUCGGCCUAAAGAACGCCGGGGCUACCUACUAGAGGCUCAUGGACAAGAUUUUCAAAGGGAUGAUCGGCAGAAGCGUAGAGGUGUACGUGGACGACAUUGUGGUGAAGUCCGACUCGUGCGGCCAGCACAUCAAAGACCUACAAGAAGUUUUCGACGCCCUUAGAAGGGUCAACAUGCGCCUUAACCCCGAGAAGUGUGCGUUCGGCGUUGAAGGUGGCAAGUUCCUCGGCUUUAUGCUGACCCACAGAGGGAUCGAGGCGAACCCCGACAAGUGCAAGGCCAUAACAAAAAUGAGAAGCCCGAAAAACUUGAAAGAAAUUCAACAGCUGCUCGGCCGGCUGACAGCACUUUCCAGAUUCAUACCCCGCCUCGCUGAACGGAUCAGGCCGAUAGCCACCAUGCUUCGCAAAACCUCGAAGUUCAGUUGGAACGAGGAGUGCGAACAAAUCUUCGGCCAGCUCAAAGAAUUCCUGUCUUCCCCGGUCGUCAUCAAAAAGCCCCGUCUAGACCUACCUAUAGUGGUCUACCUAGCGGUGUUAGAGGAAGCGGUCAGCGCCGCCCUCGUCCAAGAAGUGGACCGCGAAGAGCACCCGGUGUACUUUGUCAGCCGGACGCUCCAUGCAGCCGAGACCAGGUACCAAAUGAUAGAGAAAGUGGCACUAGCCUUGGUGCUGACAGCGAGGAGAAUGCACCCGUACUUCCAGAACCACGAAAUCAGGGUAAGGACCAAUUAUCCUAUAUACAAAAUUUUAUCUAAACCCGACCUUGCAGGACGGAUGAUAGGGUGGUCGGUCGAACUUUCAGAGUUCGACAUCAAGUACGAACCAAGGGGUGCCAUUAAAUCCCAAUGCUUGGCAGAUUUCGCAGCCGAGCUCCCCAGAAACACAGAAACCUCGGCCAGGUGGGUCCUCUACGUGGACGGCUCGUCCAACAAAACGGUUUGUGGAGCCGGGGUCGUCCUCGAGGGGCCUGGGGACGUACUGAUCGAACAAGCCCUCCAGUUCUCUUUCAAAGUAACGAACAACCAGGCGGAAUACGAGGCCAUACUGGCCGGCCUCAACCUAGCAAAUGACCUGGGCGCGUGGGAGGUCGCAUGCAAGAACGAUUCCCAACUGGUCAAGGUCAAAUCAAAGGAGAAUUCGAGGUCAAGGAGCCCCUCCUCCAACGAUAUUACCACACCUUCCGUAACGUCAUGGCCAAAUUCGACACGGUGGCGGUCCAGCACAUACCACGGGAGGAAAACGAGUGUGCCGAUGCACUCUCACGCCUGGCAUCUUCGAAAAAACAAAGCCACCACAGAUCGGUCGUCCAGGUGCGACUAGCACAGCCGAGCGUAGGUGACGCCGAAUGCAUGACAAUCACCGAGACCCACACAUGGAUGACCCCGAUCACCCAGUACUUGGAGCACGGAACAUGCCAACUGGGGGAAGAGAAGAACAUCAGACGGUAGUGCGCCCGGUACACCAUGAUCGGCCAGGACCUGUAUCGAAGGGGGUACUCAACGCCACUCCUAAAGUGCCUCACCAAGGAACAAUCCCAAUACGUGCUACAAGAAAUCCACGAAGGGGCGUGCGGGAGCCACUCCGGAGCACGAACGAUGGCGGCCAAGAUAGUCCGCGCAGGAUACUACUGGCCGACCGUCCAUGGAGAUAGCGCUGAUUACGUUAAGAAAUGCCAAAAAUGCCAAGAGUUUGGCCCCCUCCACCACCGAAAACUAGAAGAACUGCACAGCAUGACAUCACCCUGGCCGUUCGCCAUUUGGGGGAUGGACAUCAUCGGCCCGUUCUCACCAGGCAAAGGCAAAACGAAACACCUGCUUGUCGUGGUAGACUACUUCACCAAAUGGAUCGAGGCCGAACCACUAGCCACAAUCACCGCCCGAAACGUCCAAAAUUUCGUGUGAAAAAACAUAGUGUGCCGAUUCGGCAUACCACACUCGACAGUCUCCGAUAACGGCCGACAAUUCAUCGACCAAGGCCUUCUGACUUUCUAGAACGACUUCGGUAUCAAAUCCCUCACAAGCUCCGUUGAGCACCCACAGACGAACGGACAAGCCGAAGCGGCCAACAAGGUUUUAUUGAACGAACUAAGGAAGAGGCUCGACACUGCCAAGGGAAGAUGGACGGAGGAGCUGCCCGAGGUCUUGUGGGCAUACCGCUGCACUCCGCAAUCCACCACACAAGAAACCCCCUAUAGCCUCACGUACGGCACCGAGGCCAUGAUACCAGUAGAGGUCGGGGAACCAUCCAUCCGACGCCAACUCUUCGACGUAUCCCUCAACAAGGAAAGUCUGGCGGUCAGCCUCGACCUCUUGAACGAGCUCCGGGAUAAAAGCAAGAUACGCGAAGCGGCAUGCAAGCUCCGAGCGGCAAGGAGAUACAACUCAAAGGUCCAGCCUAGAAGCUUUCAACAAGGCGACCUCGUCUGGAGAAUGCGCAGCAACGCUAGGAAGUCGGACGGCAAGUUCUCAUCAAAUUGGGAAGGACCAUUCUGAAUCCGAGAAGUAGGAAAAGGGGGAGCUUAUCACUUGGAACAUCUAUCGGGAAAAAUUGUACCUAGGACGUGGAAUGCCACGCACCUAAAAUUUUAUUUCAGCUAAACAUGAAUAAAAUAUACGCACUCUUUCCUCGACCGGCCGAUCCAUCGGUCGGAGAGGUUUUAACGAGGCGUUCCGUACAUAAGUGUGUAUAACAAAUGACAUGAACGGCUCGGCCAGGAUGUAGCCCUAACCGGCAUACCCUCCCGAAACCCACACGGUUCGGCCAGGAUGUAGUCUUAACCGGCAUACCCUCCCGAAACCCGUACCCAUCUCAGUCAGGCUGUAGCCCUAACCGGCAUACCCUUCCGAAACCUACACGAUUCGGCCAGGAUGUAGCCCUAACCCGCAUACCCUCCCGUAACACACACGGUUUGGCCAGGAUGUAGCCUCAACCGGCAUACCCUCCCGAACCCGUACACAUUUCGGCCAGGAUGCAGCCUUAACCAGCAUACCCUCCGGGCACACACCUAACGUUCGGCAAGAACCAAAACUCGCCUAAACAGCAAAACUCGUCUAAAUCGAAUUCGCCAAAGAAUGACCGACUGAUCGAAGUCCGUUACAUUCACUUGAUUGAUUUUAAUUAGAACAAGUCACUCACUUGAUUUCAUCUACCCACCGGUCACUUAGUCCUUUUUAUUUAGUUAACUUUACCGCAAUUUAAGGUUAAUUAUUCCAGCCCACUCGACUCGCAAAGGCUCGUUCGUCCAGAAAAUGCAGAAACAAUUGAAAGAAAAAACUUAUAUUAAUUGAAAAUAAGUGGGGGCCACCCCGGCCCCAGGGGUCCAAAAUUAAAAGCUGACCGCCUAGUCUACAAUAUUCAAAACCUCAUUAGAGGGAUCAGCUUCAACUUCUUCACCAGGAGGGCCGGCCGCUGCAGGGACCAAACGACCAUCCACAACUUCCAUGUCUUGGUCAAAUGGACCAGAAGGAGGUGGACCGCCGUAGAGCACCUCGGCCUGUCGAACGGCAAGAUCGAAGCUCUGACCAAUAAGCACCAUGGUGUCCUCCAUGGUCUUCAAAACUUCAGCCUCCGCCGCCCUCUUGGCCUCGCGCUCGGCCGCAGCUUCCUCUUCCAUCAAGGUAGCCCGACGGUCGGCCGCCUCCAAUGCCUUGCGAAGGAGAAUAACCUCCGCGACUUUGUUGGCGUCGGCCUUCUCCAGCUCGGCCGCUUGCGCACACAACUUCUUUUCAUAAGUCGUGUUGGCCUCCACAGCCUACUUUAGGUUGUGCCCGGCCUCCUGGAGAACGUGCUCGAGGCGCGAUAUGUCCUCGACCCGGCUUCUCCGAGCGUCGGCCCCCCGACGGGCCAAAAAUAGACCCCGACAAAUCAUCUCGAUGCUGCCGUCAAGAAGGUCGUCAUCGGGGACCGACCGGAUCUCCCACUCGAUGUUGGAGGGCAGCUUGAAGCUCACAGCCCGUGAGAAUGACGGGUCGUCUCCGACCAACGCAAGCGUUGAUCCGCCCGAAGAGGCCAAGGGCACCGCCACCCCCGUAGGAAUAGGACGGUUGAACUCGUCAGUAGGGGGAAGUUAGCCUAGCUGACCGCGCUAGAGGAGGAGUUGGCAUCUGCCCCGCCGCCCGAACGGUUCGGGCGAUAUUGCCGCCCUCGCGGCCACGUUUCUUGGAAGGGCCCGCCCGAGCACCCUCUUCCGCCCGGGGCUUGGCACUGGUGGCCCCCCUCUUCUCGUUCAGCUUGUUCUUGAACGAGUGCAACAUCCCAACAGCUUGGGGGAUUUCUCUCUUCGCGAUUUCUACAAACCAAACAAGAAAUGGUCGGUCAGAGCAAAGCGCAAAAUGUAAUAAACUAAGUGCAUGAAAAGAGCAUACCCUCGAAAGCCUCCGCGCGAUCGAUCGCAUUGUACAACGACAUGAGCGGUCGGGCGGGGAGCUUCCUGGGGAGACUAUCAAAUAAAGCAAAAACGAGCCGCUCAUGCUCGCUCGGAUGUGCCGGCCUCGGCCAAUCCGUUAUCUUCGUCGGACUCCUCGACCAAAAAAGAGGGAAACGAGACUGGCCGACUUCCUCAAAAAAAUAACGUGUUCCGGCCGGCUCCACGUACACUUUAAAGAACUUCUCUUUGAAGUUCUUAUAAGAGGCUGUGAAGGGCUUGAACAACACGCUACCCGCCCGGCUGACCAGCGAUUGCCAACUGGCAAGCUUGGCCGGGUACGACGAAUAGAAGUGAAGAAAACAGGAGGGAAGAGGGCGCAACCCAAACGUCCGGCAAACAAUGUGGAACGCUUGCAUAGACGCCCACGAAUUGGGAUGAAGCUGAGUCGGAGCCACGUUGAGCUCCUUCAAAACCCCGGCCGUAAAGGCAUCAAAGGGGAGAGACACAUGCAGGUCCGCAAAAAGACAACCAUACAUGAAGAAAAAGGGAGGCUCGGUAGAUGAUCGCUCCCUGUACACACGAUCCUCCAAAGAACAAGGACCGAACGCCAACAAGGAUUCCUCAGCCGAAGCCUUCAAGACAGAAACCCCGUCCAGAAACUCAGCAACGGAGACAUCGGUGUAAAAGGCAGACGACACCUCACACAACCGGGGAUCAACCCAGGCCGGCCCCUCGAAGGGGGCCGAUUGGUCCGACGCGUUACCAACGUCUUCUCUCACCAAUGUCGGGGAAUGGACACAAUCCACGUCCCCGACCGGGGAAGCCUGACCGGACGAAGAAGAAGAAGAAGAAGAAGAAGACGAAGAAGAAGAAGACGAAGAAGACGAAGAAAACGACGAGCAAGCAGGGGGGGACUCGGAAAGAGCAGACAUAACUAACCUUGAGACGGACGAAGAAGGCAACAGAGAUCGGUCGGAUUGAUUCGAGGUGUCGGAGCUCAAACAAAGAUAACGCGUGGAACUCUACUAUUCCCAGCCCCUAUUUAUAGCCCGAGAGGACCUCGGAAUCCCAAACGUCGCAAGAACCUCAACCAUUGGAUUCGUUUGAUCCAACGGUUCGCAUCGCUUCGCACCCAGAAAAACCCCUCAUUAAUGCGCGUCACGUCAAUCGCUCAGGCGCCCCCAAACAUCACUUCAUUCAUCAUUACACAGUCCGCCCGAGACCCACUCUUCAGACUCUUCAGACUCUUCGGCUGUACCACCUCUCGAGCCUGGGAGGCAACUGUACCGGGAUGACCGACCGGUUUAUUGACCCGGUCAACCCAUGCGUCAAGACCAUACUUUAAGGUACGAGGUCGACCACGUGUCAUACGUGGCCGACCGACAUAAGGUGCUCUAGUCAAACCGUUGACCCAAUUAGCAAAGGUCAACCCACGGUUAGGGAACGACUUAAUCCAACCCUAAUCGCUAAACAACCCCCUAAUCCGGCCCAACAGCGAGGGCCCAUCAAGGUAAUAUAAAUAUCACGCAUUCCAAGGAUUAAGGUACGUCAUUAUCUACAGUAUUCUAACCAGCCGAAUACGAUACCCCACUUACUUGAGCGUUGGAGUGCCAUUUGCAGGUACCCCACUCGCUUGAGGAGUCAUUCAGCGUGAAGGACCGAAGGAGGAAGUGAAGCACGACCGACCGAGUGACAUCCAAAGACAAUAGUUCUCCCAAUCCCCAACCUAGUUCGAGAACACUUUCUUUAUUGUAUUUUCACUCAUGUUUGCUUAUACUUCAGAACUUAGUUUGAUUCUUUGUUUUGCAAUUGUGUUUUACGUACAUAAAUUGAUAUGAUUGAGACAUUCUUUGUUAACCCUCAUGAUAAUCCACUUGUUACCCUUUUGAUCCUCAUUAGUAGAAAAUACGCAAUUUACUACUCCCUAUAAAGUGUUCUUAAAGAAUAGCCGUAAUAAGAGAGGCGAUGACAAUUUUCAUAAUUUUUUUCAAAUUUCAGUGUUUUUAACAACGGUUCAGGCAAGAACUGUCGUUAAUUGUGGAAUAGUGUGGAAAUAAAGACGGUUUUGUACAGAAUCAUCGUUGAUUAGUUGUUCAAGAAAAAAAAAAAAUAAAGCCCGCGUGCACACCUUUCUCUUUCCCUCACUCAUUUUCACUCUCUCAUUUUCGCACAACAUUCUCUCCUCACUCAUUUGCACUCACACUCCUCACCCACAGUCACCCUUAGCUGCGACACCUCCUCCCACCGCGCUGCCACGAGCAGUCUCCGCUCCUCCAGACCACAGCUUCUGCUGCGAUCACGAGCUCUGUCGCAGGUCCCACCGCGACCACGAGCUCCGUUCCAGCUCCCGCAACGACCCUUCCUUGCUCCGUUAGUCUCCUCCGCCACACCAGCCACCAUGGCCAAUACGAAGCAGAUUCGUUCAACUUCCACAUUCGCCACCAGCCUCCUUCGCGUGCCGCACCAACCAACUUCUUCCACCACACCAGCCACCGUGCUUCUAAAAUAGAAAAUUCAUGUUUGUUCAUACCUUAGAAGAUAAAAUAGAUUUGAAAUUAUUUUGGGAAUAGGUUCUUGAAUAUGUGUGCGGGGUGUACUUCAUUUUUCUUACCUUAGCUCCUCAUAUAUCAACUCAUUACUAAAGAAUAAUAGAAAAAGAAAGAAAUAAAAUAACAAAAAUAAAAGAAAAUAACAAAAGCGUAGACUGUCUUCUCCAUGAAAAAACAAUAAAAGAAUAUGUCUUGAAAUAAAAAAGAGAAGUUGAAUUGUAAAAUUGCUUACACUUAUUUUUUGGAUUUAUUUUCUUUGUUUUUCUAUGGUUUUAAGUCUCUUUUUCCCAUUUUACCUACCUUUAUCUUGAUCCCAUUACAUCCCUUAUGAACUCAUUUUGAUAUCUCAUUGCAUGUUUUUCAAUUGUUGUAAAUAGUGGAGUCAUGCUAAUAUGGUAGUGUUUGCUUAGUGUAAAUACCAACCUAAACACUUGAGAGUUGGAGAGUGUCUAGUGAAAGUUUUGUCAUUUUUUAUUCACUCUUUGAUUUUAGUUACCUGUUUGUGUUAAAAUAUAGGAAUUUCCAUUCAUAUUUUUCUUGAUUCUUUGAAUUCUUGAAAUUAUAUCAUAAUUGUUAUUAUGCGUUCUUAGAAUAUGUUGUAAUUUUCUUUUUUUUUGUUUGCACUUAUUACGAAGUGGACUUUAAGUCUAACUCAACCCCAUAAAAUCGUCUCAUGAGGUUGAGGUUUGCACCCACUUAUAUACAAUGAAAGACUCUAAUCUCUAGUCGAUGUGGGAUCUCCAACACCCCCCCCCUCACGUCGAGACUGCCAACUCGUGCGUGAGACUAUAUAUUAUGGGUGGUCCGAUAGCGGCUCGAUAGCGGGUGGCUGGAUAAGUCCAACAAAUACUCGCUAGGAUAGGCUCAAAAUGGUUUUGAUACCAUAUUACGAAGUGGACUUUAAACUUAAUUCAACCCAAUAAAACUGGCUCAUGAGGUUGAGGUUUGCACCUACUUAUAUACAAUGAAAGACUCUAAUCUCUAGUCGAUGUGGGAUCUCCAACAACACUGUAUUCCUUUGAUCGAUUGUUAGUCUAUAGAGUGUUUUGUCCAAGAGUGCAAAAGGACAAGUGUGAGGGUAUUUGAUGAGCAUAAUUUUACUCACUUGUAACAUUUAAUCAUAUUUUUCUUUGAUUAAAAUCAUGAGUAUUAGGGUUUGAGAGUGUGAGUUUCAAAGAGAGGGGAAAGCGGAGUGAAAGAGAAAAAUGAAAACUUUAAAAAGCAUUAUUAUGUGACAUGUUUUCAUUGGUCCACGUGUUGUGUGUUGAUUGGUGCACAUUUUGCUAAUUUGGAUAUUAAACAUUUGAAUUUUUUUGAAAAAAAAAACUUGUAUUAUUUAUAGAUAUAGAUUUUUAUCUAUAAUUCUAUUUGGUCUGAAAAGUCAUCAAAUCUUAAUUUUUUAUAUGAUUCAAAUGAGAUUUGUUUGAGUACAUAAGAUAAAUAAUGAAUGCUUGGAGAAGAGAGUGAUAUAUAGGUGGAAUGUUUGACUCUGCUAUGAAAUUUGUACUUUAAUCUUGUAUUUAUUUAAAUAUUAUAUAGUAUAAAUAUAUUCAUUGUCUAAAAAAUAAAUAUUUAUUUUAUGAGUUUUUUUCUUAUCUACAAAUAUAUUAAAAAUAAAAUGUUCGGUGCAAUACAUUUAUUGGAGCGAGAGAAAACUUUCUAAAAACCCUGUUACAAAUUAUAUGAAGUUUUGGUAUUUUUAAUUUAUCUCAUAACGCAAGGUUAAUUUUUUAAGUUGUUUUCACUAAAUAAUUGUUUUUAAAACCAUUUUAGUAUAAUUAAACGAAUGCAUAAAAUAAGUACGACGUACUUACAGAGAAUAUGUUAUUUUAGUACAAAUGUAUUAAAAAUUAUACAUACCUAUGAGAGAGAGCUUUUUUUUUUCUUAUCAGCAAAUAUUAUAAUUCACUUUAGGAUAAUAAUAAUGAUACAAGACGUUUAUUAUUUCAUAAAUUUAUUUUUAUUUAAACUUGUAUCAUUAUUGAUGUUCAUAGAAAGGCAAACAUGAUGCAUCCAUAAUUACCGAAUCUGGAAAUGAUUAAGUGCAGGCAGGAAGAGGAGAACCACACAAGCACUUGUUGUUGGCAUAAGCAGAAACGUCAAAUCUUUGCAAGUUCCCACCUUGAGGAAUCUCACCGCACAGAUUGUUGAAGCUCACAUUUAAACUGUGCAGAAACUUUAGCUGCGUCAGUCCCUGCGGUAGCGUCCCAUAGAUACGGUUGUUCCUCAGAUCCAACCCGUUCAAGUUCUUUGACAACCCCACUUUCCCCAAAUCAAAGGCAAGAGAGUUCUUCGCCAGAUGUAUCUUCUGCGUGUUCUUAUCUGAUCCGAACAACACCGACGCGUCACCCUCCAGCAUGUUUCGAGACAAGUCAACGAACGCCAGGUUCAGAUUCGCAAACGUCGGCGGAAUCUUCCCGGUGAGGCGGUUGCGGGAGAUGGUCAUCGACGUGAACAGCUUCGAAAAUGAGCCGUAGGAGUCGGGGAUGGCGCCGGAGAUUCGGUUGCCGUCGAAUGUGAUUCCGACGAGGUUGGGGAGAGAAGAGAUGGAGGGAGGUAGGGUGCCGGAGAGGGCGUUGUAGGAGAAGUCGAGGGUGACGAGGGUUUUGAUCUGUGACAAGAAAUCGGGUAUUGCGCCGGAGACAUUGGUGUGGGUGAUAUAGAGAUAGUGGAGUUGGGUGAGUUUAGCGAUGGCGGGGGGGAUUGGACCGACGAGGUUAUUGAUGCCACCAAUGUAUAGAAAAUUGAGGUAGGGGAGGUUGGCGAGGGAGGAAGGGAUAGGGUAGGGUUUUGGGAGGUUAAGGCCGGAGAGGUCGAGGUUGUUGACGCGAUAUGUUUGGGUGUCGGUGUCGCAUAAAACACCUAGCCAGGUUCUGUUGCAACAGUCGGUGGUUGGAAGCCAUGAGGAGAGAGUGGUUGGGUUGCCAAGGUCUUUCUUGAUUUGGAGAAGGGCUUGCUUGUCUUGUGGGUUGCAUAGCUCUGAGUGUGCAGUGCUCAAAGAUACAAGAAUGACCAAAAUUAUGCUUAAGCUUGAGGACAUGGUUGCUGGGAUAUUGAAUUGAGUGAUAAAAAUGGAUGAUAAUGUGAGAUGUUAUAUCCUUCAAGCUGCUAUAUUUGACUUAUAGGAGUCAAUAAAGCCAGUGCAAGUGUUCAGGAAGGUCACGCUCACGCAUGUACGCACCAUUGGAUUGAGGUUUUUUUCUUUAAAUUGAUAGGUUGAAAACUCCUUGUAUACAAAAUCUAUUUGUAUACAAAAGCUUUUUAUACCGAUGGAUUUAAAAAUAAAUAUAUAUAAUAAAAUGUGAAUUUUAAUUAAAUAAUAUAAAAAAUAUUAAAAUAAUUGGAAGUUGGGGGUGGUUAUAUGAUUUUAUAAAUUUUUUUAUUUAUCCAAUUACUUUUUUUUCCUAAUAUAACAAUUUUCGUCACCCUAAACAAGGAAGGACCAAUCUUGAUAUAUAAAGUGUCGGCAUAAUUAACCAAAUAGAAAGUACAUAUUUAUUUUUCAAAAUCCUUUUUAAUAAAUUAAUAAAAGCAAACAAUUAUUUUUAAAAUUAAGUUAAUGUUAACUAAGUUUAACUCUUAUGUUUCUAACUUAGACAUAUUUUGUAGUUAAUUCGAAGAAGUAAAGUGAAAUUAAUAGCGUUUGAAAAUAUAAUGAAUUCAAAACAUAAUAUAGAUGAAAACUAAGAAAUAGAAAUAUUUAUGUAUAUUCAAUGUAUUUAAUUAAUAUUCAUUUCAUCUUGUUAAUUUUAAUUCUAAAUGUCAACAGAUUGACUUAUUGAAUGCGUCAUUGUGAGCGUCAAUGAUAACAUCUCCAAUGUUAGGUCUGAGAUGACACAAUAAGUAAUGAUAGAAACUGAAAUGAAUGCAGCGUGCAUCAGGCAAGGUGAAAUUUGGUUGAAAUGCCGUUUAGGUGUAAAUACCAACGUAAACGAGUUGGGGAGAGAGUUUGUCAUUUUUUAUUUCCUCUUUGAUUUUACUUACUUGUGUUAAAAUAUAGAAAUUUCGACUCACAAUUUUUUUAUUCUUUUGAUUUUUUGAAAUUAUAUCAUAAUUUUUAUUAAGCGUUCUUAGUAUCAGCUGUAAUUUUAUUUUUCUGUCGUUUGCAUUGUAUUUUUUAUCCAUGGUUAGUUUAUAAAGUGUUUUGUCCAAGAGUGCAAAAUGAUAAGUGUGAGAAUAUUUGAUGAGCAUAAUUUUACUCUCUCUUGUAACAUUUAAUCAUAUUUGUCUUGGAUUAAAAUCAUGUAUAAAUUCAUUGUUUUAAAUAGGAUUCAUGUAACUAGAUUUAUUUGGAUUUUAACUAUUAUUUAUCCCACUCAUGUGUUUUAGUUAGAGUAAACAUUUUGGUAGACGAUUUGAAGGAAAUGUUUGCCGCUAGGAGUGGGUCUAAUCAAGCGAAAGUUCAAGUUGUUUAUCUAAAUCAAAACAAGAAAUGAAAUUUGAGUAGAAGAAUUAGAGAAUAAAAUCUAUAAUAUUUUAAAAACAAAUUUGGAAGCAACUCUUCUGCAAAAAUAUGAAGAAACUGAGUUUGAGAUAAAAUUGGAAACAAAAUCCAAGAAUUCUGAUGAGUUGAAAAUUGAGAAACUUUUAACAAUAUAUGAACCGAAAAAUUAUUUCAAUAUCCUUGGAGAUACCUAUAAAAAGAUGCAAGCUUCAAUGAGAUAUCAUCCGUUUGAGAAACAAAGCAUUAGUGUUUUAUUAGUUUUUUAUUUUCUUAUUUGUAAUCUUUUCGUUUCACCUCCGCAUGGAAGAUUAAACUCCUUUGGAUUGAUUCUUUUGUGAUUUGCAAAAAAAUCUAAGGUUUUUUUUAAUAAAGUUUUAUUCUUAAAUUCUCUGUAGCGAUUUGUGUUAAAAAAUAUGAUAUUUUUGAAUUUUGGUUUUGUUAAGAAAUUGUUUUAAAUGCUUCUUAAGAGUUCAAAUUUUUUUCUUUAAUUGAAUUUCUUGGUUAGUUUUCUAAAUUAUAAUCAAUCUCUUGUUUGCUUAAUUCAAGAGGUAGAAGAUAAACAUUUCACGAGUAAAUACUUGGAGACGAGUGAGAUACUGAACAACUUAGUAAACAUUUGUUCUAUUGAUAAGAUUAUAUUAAAUUUGAUUAACGCUUAUUUGAUUAAGUUCGACAUUUGUCUGAGAAUUGAAAGAACUAAAAUCUUAAGAUAAUCAAUAAUGAAUUCACAAAUGAAUGAUCUUGAGAGUUAACCUACCUUCUUUACUGUUUUAAAAUCAUAUAUUGAUUGACUUCAUAUAUAAUGAUCUCAACCUUCUUCUAUCUUUACUAUUAUUUCUAAGCUUUAUUGAUUGCAAAAUAAGUUUUGAAUAUUGAUUGACUGGAUUUACUAUUAGAUUCGUUGAGAGAUGAUUUGGGAUCAUCUGACCUCAUUCAUACUAUCAUCUCUUUAGUGUUAGACCAUCUAACACUAUGUAAGAUAGUCUACAUUAAAAUCAUUUUAUUUUUAUUAUGAAAAUGACAACAAUCAAAUAUACAAGAUAUUGUCGGAUUUAUUUAUUUAAAUCAAAUAUUGUGGUUGUUAGUAUAUUUUUGGAAAGAUAAAACAUUGGUGGAGACUCAAAGUAGUUACAAGUUGUAAAUAAUAAGAUCUAAGAGUGAAAAGAAAUACACAAAUGAUGUUUUUGAUAAAUUUUGGAAAGAAGUUGAAACCAAACAUUAACUUACGAUGAUUUUCAGUCUACAACAAAAUGGUGAGAGAAAAAAAAAAUAGAAGUAUCAUGAAAGGUGUAUGCUAUAUGAGAAAGAUUUGUGAAACAAGUUAUGGAGCAUUAUUGUACUUUUGUUGUUGAAUUGGUUGUCAAUCAGGUUCGAAAAAAAACUUCAUUUGAAGUUGGGUAUAGAUUAAAUUUACAAAAUUUGUUAUGUUUAUUUAUGUUAUGUUUCAAAGGUUAAAAGGGAAAAACUUGACAAGAAGAUUGAACCUAAAGUUUUAAUUGGACACGACAACACUUUCAAAGCUUAGAAAAAUUUUCAACCAUAAAAUGAAAAAUUCUAGUGAAAAAAAUGUAAAAUUCAUGAAAAAUUAACAAUGAAGUUGGGAGAAACCCAUAAGCAAGCAAUUUUCAAAAAACCCACAUAAUUUGAAUAAAGUAAGAAAGAUGACAAGUGGAUAAAUGCUCUAAAGGAAGAGCUAAAGAUGAUUGAAAAAAAAAAUAUCACAUGAAAACUAGUGCAGAUACCUUAUAAUAGAAGAAACUUAUAGGAGUUAAAUGAGUCAUAGAACAAACUUAAUUUACACAAUUCUAUAAAUAAAUACAAGGAUGCAAAAAGAUAUCCUGUGUAUUUUUAAAAAGUAUUUACUCCAUUAGGUUCGACAGAUUUUUUUUAUUUCUCAUUUCUCUAGUAAGGAUGAUCUUCUUUCUUUUAUUAAGAGUGACGGUAGUCCUUUGGUUAAAUUGAUUAAGCUUGUUCUGACAAUCUUUUCUAUAUGGAUGAUAUGGCAUAUGAGAAAUUAUGCUAGAUUUCAGGAUAAGAUUGAGGUUUCUAAGGCUAUUUUGAUAAUUAAAGAUUUAACUUGUCUAGUGGGAAAUUCGUCUAAAGCUUCAAUGAAGAAUGAUAUGUUGGAUUUCAACGUGAUUAAGUUUUUUGGUAUUAAGACUCAUAGUGGGAAAGUUUUUCGUCCUCUUCCUGUUAGAUGUAAAUUUUCUUCAUCAGGCAGGGUUAAAAUUAACACUGAUGAGGCUGCUAGGGGGUAUCCUGGUCUUCUUACUUGUGGAGGUAUUUUUCGUGGGAGUAUGGGAGAAUUUAUUGGUGCUUUUUCAACGUUUCUUGAAGUUCAGACUACUUUGGUUGUUGAGUUUUAUGGAAUUAUACAUGCUAUGAAGGAAGCUCAAAAGAUGAGACUUACUAAUGUUUGGCUUGAAUGUGAUUCUGCCUUGGUUUGUGCUGUGUUUACUAUUAGGACUAAUGUUCCGUGGAUGCUUCGUAAUCGAUGAAAUACUUGUCUUAAUUUCUGUGAGACAAUCAAGUUUAGGGUUACUCAUAUUUUUCGUGAGGGGAAUGCAUGUGCUUAUAAGUUGACUAAUUUAGGGUUCAUUCAUAGAGAAUCAUUUCAUUGGUAUAAUAGACUUUCAUCUAGUCUGUUCUCAAAAUUCUUUAUGAAUAGGUAUAGUCUACCUAUGUAUCGUUUUUGUUAACAUGUGGGUUUUGGUCUAGUCCCCCCAUAUUUUUGUAUUUUCUUUUUUUUUUCUUUUUUUUAAUAAUUUUUUUUCCCUGUAAUGGCAGAUGAUUGUUGUUACUUAAGGUGUCAGCCUAGCUGAGAUGUCAAGUUGCAUAGUGAUGCCUAACAUACAAACUUUUAUAUAAAAAAAAAGUUUUACUCCAAUUUAACGUUUUGAUAUAAUUACAAUGUUGAAUACCUUACUCUCAUAUGAAGGAUAUAAAAUUUAUCAUUUAUAUGUAAAAAAACUUGAGGAAGAAAUUUAUGUAGAGAUAUUUAAAGAGUUUCAAAAUGACAGGAGAGGGGAGGAUGUUUACUAGUUGAAAAGGAACUUAUAUAGUAUAAAAUAGACUCCAAGAACCUAGUAAAACAAGAUAAAAAAAAGGAUAAAUAGUUAUCAUUUAAAUCUUGGAUUUGUCAAAAAUCCAAGUAAAGACGUUGACAUAAUAUAUUAGAUUUCUAUGUUAUUUUUUAAAAUAAAAAUAAUCUUUACUGUACUAAUCAGAUAAAUUUAUUUUAACCAUAUUAGUUUAGUGAUCGAUACUUUUCCUUUUUUUUAAUCAUAUUAUAUUCAUACUUACAAUUCUCAAUCAAUAAUAAUAAUAAAAAAACAAUUUCGUCUAUAAUAUUUUUUUAAAUAUAUUUUUAUUAUAAAAACUUUCAUUUAGACAUUAUUAUGCAACCUGUCAAGUAAAAAUAUUUAAAAAAACAUAGUUUUACUCUUUUUAUAAUAUUUUUUUUCUAAGUUAAGAAAUACCAGUAAAAAAAUAUAACAAGUUUAUGAAAUUAACCUUAUUAUUAAUUUAUUCAUAAUUUUUUGUAGUCUUUCAUUAAUAUUAUUAAAAUAGGUUAUGAACAAAAAAGUAUAAUUAAUAUUUUAUUUAAAACUAGAAUCAUACUUAUUUUAAGAUGUUAUGUGGAGGACCAUGACUCAAUAGAUCAAUAAGCAAUGUAAAUAUGAUUGAAGAAAAUAUAAUAGAAGGAAAAAAGAAACUUCAAUAAUAGAUCAAAGUACAAAAGAAAAGAAUAAAGAAAUAUAUUAUAAGGGAGAUUCCCAAAGAAUGCUAGGAAGAUUAGAAAAAGUAAUAGAGAAAUUAGUUUUAUAAUUAUAUAAUAUUUCUUGAUUCUCUUAAAGUAUUUUACAAUAGACAUUUGAGAUGCUCACACAUAAAGAGUUUCACAUACAUAACUCAUAGUUUUAAGAAUGUCUCUAACGAAUUUGUUUUCUCUCUUCCUUAAAUCAAGAAACAACCCAUGUGCUUAAAGGCGUGAUUAAGAGUGUUAACCAUAUGAUUUAUAAGUAAACUUAGGAUUCUAAAACACAUGAUAACAGAGUCACUCUCUUUUCUAAAAUCACUUUUGAAAAUUGAAUAUGAAAUUUUUCUUGUAUGUUCAACUUUAAGAGUCUUAUAAGAGUUUUAUACUCUUAACUUCAUUUUUAUCUUGAAGAACUUCUAAACACUGAUGAACUUUUUGCACUUAUACGUUGAAAUUCAUGACAAAGAAAACAUGUUCUUAUGCAUUGGUGAGUCUCAAUUCAUUUUCUAUUUCAUUUUACAACUUAUUCUUAUUAUCCUUUCAUGUUUAUAACAUAUUGCAAGCUUUAACCAUGGAAACCAGUACUUCCGGCAUUGUUAUCUUGUUUUCGCAUGGUCUCACAUUCCUUAAAUUUUUCAAGAACUUUACAACCUUCUAAGAUUUCCAUUAUUAAUGCUACUAAAAUUAGUCAUAUGUAAUGAUGAUGAAAGAAGCAAUCUGUAAUUCCGAAAUGAUGAUGCAAUGGCUCUAAUUAGUACGGUACAAUAAUUAAUAUGGAAGUAAAGGAGUCAAGUUCACACUCAAGGAGCCAAUAACAAUGAAAUGACCAAUGAAAGGUGCUACAAGAAAGAAGAGUUAGCCAAUUCAUUUAUUCAAAACUUAUGACAUAAUAGUUGGCGCAAUUUAAUAGUAUUUGUUGGGUUCCUAUACCUAGAACAAAUUUAUUAUGGUUGGUUUGUAAUCUAAUGUUUGUUGGAUCCGGGUGAUAGGAAACUUGUUUUGGGUAUUUUUUUAUAAGGUUGAACAUCCCUAAAAUGUCUCAUUUUAUUUUAUUCAUUCUUUACUGAUAAAAAAAAAACAAAUAUUGUUUGAGAUAGAAAUGAAGUAACAUCGAGAAUGACUUCAAGUUUUUUCCAAAAUUCUAAUAUGUACUGUACUAAUCCUUACCCGAGCACAACACGAGGCAUAAUCAAUAUAAGCAAAAUAAUGAGGAAUAAAAAACACAUUAAAUCACUACAAGAAAAGUUUGAUUUAGCUUCCAAAUUUUUGCGUGGGCCAUUUGCGGACGCUACUCUCAUCGGCCAAAAUGAGUAAAAGUCCACGCAAGAUUUACAUUAGACGCAAAACGGACGCAUAUAUUGAUUUAAUUUUUUUUUUUAAUUUUUUUUUGCGUUGGCCGCGGCCACGCAUAGGCGUCGGUUUUGCGUCGACCGCGGCCCACGCAUAUGCGCCCGUUUUGCGUUGCCCACAGAACCCACGCAUAUGCGUCCGCUAUAGCCCACGCAUGUUUAGAAUUUUAAAAUUUAAAUAUUUUUAAUGUAUAAUAAAUAUUUUAAUAUUUAAUUCUUUAUUAUAUUUAUUUUAGAAUUAUUUCUUUACUGUUAUAAUAAAUUAUUUAAUUUAUCACUUUUAAAUAUAAAUUAAUUAAAUUAGAUUUAUUAAAUUAAAUAAGCGUUUGAUUUAAAAUUAAUUGAGUAAAAUAAAAUAUAUAUUUAAAUGUUAUAUAAAAUAUUUGUUUAUUUUAAAUAUUAUUUAUUUUAAAUUUAUUUUAUUUAUAUAUUGUCAUAACUAUUUUAUUUUUGAAAUUAUGAUAUAAAUUAGUUAAAUUAAAUUUAUUAAAUUGAUGAUAAUAAUAUUAAAUUUAUUAAAUAUUAUAUUAAUACUAAUAAUAUUAAUAAUAUGUAUAAUAAUAUUAAUAAUAUUAAUAAUAAUAUUAAUAAUAAUGUUACUUAUAAUGUUAAUAAUAAUGUUAAUAAUAAUGUUAAUUAUAAUGUUAAUUAUAAUAUUAAUUAUAAUUUUAAUUAUAAUAUUAAUUAUAAUGUUAAUAAUAAUAUUAAUAAUAAUGUUAAUAAUAAUAUUAAUAAUCUAUACCUAUAUAUAAAGGAGAUUCCCCUCUUAACUACCAUAUUAUUUUAUUUAAAUUUUAUUUUUAUCUUUAUAUCUUAUCUUAUUUGUUAUUUUGUGAAGAGUUUAAAUUUUAUAUCUCAAAGAGUUUAAAUUUAAAACUAAAUAUUUGUAAAGUGAGAUUUGUUCAGGAGCAUUGUCCAAUUGCAUCUUUUUCUUCUGUUCAUCUUCACUUUUAUCACAUCAAACUUUCUCCAUAUCAUUUUCACUUUUAUCCCAUCAAACUUUCUAUUUUCAUAUUCAAAUUACUAGAAGAAGUCGCACUUCCGUUCCAGAACCACGAAACCAUUCCGUAAGUAUGGUUUUCAAAUAUAAAGUAGAAGAUGAAAAUGCAAUGUCUGAUUUUACUUUUAUUUUUUAUUCAUUUAUGCAUGUCUUUGGCAUUGUAUGAUGACAAUAUUGUAAUUAUUGUGCUCACACAAAACACAAACAAAUAGAACUAUUAAAGAAAAACAAACAAAUAAAAAUCGUAGGAUUUUGUUCAUUGAAUAAAAAAUUGAAAGAUAAAAAAAAACGUACCCGAUAAAACUACGUAUGUGGAAGUGAAAAGGGUUAGUAUAUGAGAAAGGAAGGAUUAGGAAGAAAAGGGGAUGCGCAUUAGAAAGUUUCGGGAGAUGGAUAUGUUGAUUUUGGCUUAAUCCCAAGUCCCACAUCGGUGAGUUCAUUGUUUGGGAGGAGGUUUGAGGGUUAUAAAUUAAACUCUUCUCCUUCACUGUUAAAUAUCCAAAUUUGUAAUAUCUUCUCUCAUAAUAAUAAAAGUGAGUUGUUUUUGCUGUGCUCAGAGAUUAGGCUAAACAGGCCGAACUCCGUUAACAAUUUUCGGGUGUGUUUUUUCCUCUUUAUCUCUUUUAUUAUUCCGCUUUAUUUAUUCAAUAUUAUUUGUCGGGUAGCUCUGUUAGGGUUUUGUUUUAGUGGGAAAAUUACCCGUUUUUUCCAACAAGUGGUAUCAAGAGCCGAAGGUUCGCCUUGGGUUGUUUGAAAUUAUUUGUAAUAUUGAAUAUUAUAUUUUGAGUUUGUAAUGGCAAAUCAAGAAGAAGAAGCGAAGAAUGUAUCCAGAGUGUCAGGCUCCUCGUCAUCAUGGUCGAGGUUCCCAGUGUCCACUUUGAAAUUGGCGGUGGAAAUAUUUGAUGGCACUGGACAUUUUAGCAUGUGGCAAGGAGAGGUCUUGGACUCUCUUUUUCAGCAGGGUCUUGAUUUUGCUAUUGAAGGAGAGAAACCAAAAGAGGUAGAGGAGAAAGACUGGAGUAUCAUCAACCGGUUAGCAUGCGGAACUAUUCGAUCCUACCUGUCCAGAGAGCAGAAGUACGCUGUAAAAAACGUGACUUCUGCACACAAACUGUGGAAGGCAUUGGAGGACAAGUUUCUGAAGAAGAGUGGUCAGAACAAGCUCUUGAUGAAAAAAAGGUUGUUCCAAUUUGACUACCAACAAGGUACUACUAUGAAUGCACACAUCACUAUGUUUAAUCAAUUAGUAGCAUACCUGUUGAAUUUAGAUGUGAAGUUUGAGGAUGAGGAUUUGGCUUUGAUGUUGUUAUCAUCUCUUUCUGAUGAAUUUGAACAUUUGGAGACUACGCUCCUUCACGGGAAGGAGAAUGUGUCAUUAGAUGCUGUUUGUUCUGCUUUAUAUAGUCAUGAAUUAAGAAAGCAGGAUAAGAUGAGAACCAAAUCAACGACAUCAGAAGAAGCAUUGGUGAUAAGAGGUCGUCAGCAAAGCCAAACAAAGGAGAGAAGAGGGAUGUCUAAGUCUAAAGGUUGAGUCGUUGCCAAAGAUGAGUGUGCUUUCUGUCAUGAGNNNNNNNNNNNNNNNNNNNNNNNNNNNNNNNNNNNNNNNNNNNNNNNNNNNNNNNNNNNNNNNNNNNNNNNNNNNNNNNNNNNNNNNNNNNNNNNNNNNNCAAAAGUGAUGUGGAAUCAGAUAUCUCUUUAAUUGUCUCGCUUUCAGCAUCAUCGUAUCCAGAUGAGUGGAUAUUGGAUUCAGGUUGUACUUAUCAUAUGUGUCCCGUUCGAGAUUGGUUCUUUGAAUUUCAAGAACUCGAUGGCGGAGUUGUUUACAUGGGUAAUGAUAAUCCAUGUAAGACAGUCGGAAUAGGUUCAAUCAAGCUGCGGAAUCAUGAUGGAUCCACCAGAAUUUUGCGGGAUGUACGGUACGUGCCAAAGUUGAAGAAGAAUCUCAUCUCAUUGGGGGCUUUAGAAUCUAAAGGCCUAGUCGUGACAAUGUGAGAUGGAAUUCUUAAAGCAACUUUAGGAGCACUAGUGAUGUUGAAAGGCGUGAUGAAGAACAAUUUGUAUUACUAUCAAGGUAGUACAGUGGUGGGGACAGUAGCGACAGCAACUUCUAGCUCUAAGAAGGAUGCUGAGGCAGCGAAGUUGUGGCAUAUGAGGUUGGGACAUGCUGGAGAAAAAUCCUUGCAAAUUCUUACCAAGCAGGGAUUGUUGAAAGGUACGAAGGCUUGCAAACUUGAAUUUUGUGAGCAUUGUGUUCUGGGAAAACAACGAAGAGUGAAGUUUGGCACUGCAAUUCACAAUACCAAGGGUAUUCUGGAUUAUGUGCAUUCAGAUGUGUGGGGACCUGCCAAGACUCCGUCAAUCGGAGGUAGACAUUAUUUUGUCACUUUUGUGGAUGAUUUUUCCAGGAGAGUUUGGGUGUUUACUAUGAAGAACAAAAAUGAUGUGUUUGAAAUUUUCCUUAAGUGGAAAGCUGAAGUUGAAAACCAGACAGGAAGGAAGAUUAAGGUUCUCCAAAUAGACAAUGGAGGAGAAUACAAGAGUGAUCUGUUCCUGAAUGUAUGCCAAGAUUGUGGCAUAGUUCGGCACUUCACUGUUAGAAAAACACCACAACAGAAUGGGGUGUCAGAGCGUAUGAACAAGACACUUGUGGAGAAAGUUUGUUGUAUGUUGUCUAAUGCUGAGUUAGGCAGAGAGUUUUGGGCUGAGGCUGUGACAUACGCUCAACAUCUCGUCAAUCGUUUGUCAUCAUCUGCUAUAGAUGGCAAAACCCUGUUAGAGGUAUGGUCUGGAAAACCUGCAACUGAUUAUGAUUCUUUGCAUGUUUUUGGUUCUAUUGCAUAUUAUCAUGUGAUUGAAUCAAAGUUAGAUCCACGGGCAAAGAAGGCUCUUUUCAUGGGCUUUAGUCCUGGAGUGAAGGGAUACCGUUUGUGGUGUCUAGAGAAAAAGAAGACGAUUAUCAGGAGGGAUGUUACCUUUCAUGAAUCUGCCAUGUUAAAGAAGGUAAAUCCAGAAGGAGCUGAUAGUACUCCACAACAGGUGGAGUGUGUCCGGAAGCAGGUGGAGUUUGAGCCGACAGUGGUGAUCCCAACACGAAAUACCACAAGUGACUCUCCUAUGGCAGAAGAAGAGUCAGAUGAGGAAGAGGUUCCUACCCAAGAAUCUCAACAACAAUCAACGCCAAUUGCAGUUAGAAGACAGAGACGAGAUAUUCAGAAGCCUGCUCGUUUCAUGGAUAUGGUUGCCUAUGCACUUCCAGUUGUUGAUGACAUUCCAUCCACUUACCCAGAAGUCAUUCUGAGUUCAGAGAGUNNNNNNNNNNNNNNNNNNNNNNNNNNNNNNNNNNNNNNNNNNNNNNNNNNNNNNNNNNNNNNNNNNNNNNNNNNNNNNNNNNNNNNNNNNNNNNNNNNNNNNNNNNNNNNNNNNNNNNNNNNNNNNNNNNNNNNNNNNNNNNNNNNNNNNNNNNNNNNNNNNNNNNNNNNNNNNNNNNNNNNNNNNNNNNNNNNNNNNNNNNNNNNNNNNNNNNNNNNNNNNNNNNNNNCCCGGAGGCGCAAAUCUGAAGCACUGCAAAGUUUGUUUUGUUAUGUUUUGAGAAGAUUUGUAUUAGGUGGAACUUGAAAUUAAGCCAAGGUGGAGAUUUGUUGAUUUUGGCUUAAUCCCAAGUCCCACAUCGGUGAGUUCAUUGUUUGGGAGGAGGUUUGAGGGUUAUAAAUUAAACUCUCCUCCUUCACUGUUAAAUAUCCCAAUUUGUAAUAUCUUCUCUCAUAAUAAUAAAAGUGAGUUGUUUUUGCUGUGCUCGGAGAUUAGGCUAAAUAGGCCGAACUCCGUUAACAAUUUUUUUUCCUCUUUAUCUCUUUUAUUAUUCCGCUUUAUUUAUUCAAUAUUAUUUGUCGGGUAGCUCUGUUAGGGUUUUGUUUUAGUGGAAAAAUUACCCGUUUUUUCCCAACAGGAUAUACUGAACACUGAAAAACUCCAUUGUUAUUCUUCUUAUUUGAAUACAAAAUGUUAGUUUUCGUUUCUCUCUUUCCAUUUUCUCUGUUUCUGUUUAUUUUAUUUUAUCUAAUUAUGCUUUUAAUUCUGAUUUUAUUCAAGUCUUUGAUAGAAAGAUAUUUUAAUUUUUUUGUCCUCUAGAUAAAAAAUUUUUAAAAAAAUAUUAUGAUAUUUUAUAUAUUUAUUUUCACAUUUUCAAAAUAUUUUCAAAAGAUAUUUUUUAUAUACGCUUUUUUUUCAUCUAUACUAAAAUUUAAAAUUGUGAAAUUUGAAAAUUGAAUUUUUGAAAUUUAAAAUUUGAUAUUUGAAAUUUGAAAUAUAAAAUUUUAAAUUUUAAAUUCAGAAUUUUAAAUUUUAAAUUUAAAUUUUAAAAUUUAAAUAAAAUGAAAUACUAUUAAUAUAAAGAUAAAAUCAAAAAAUAAAAAAAAAAGUUAUAAAAUCAAUCCUGAUUCAAAAAAUUGUUUUAUCUCUCAACUCCUCCAUCAACUACUCUUAAUUAUUUUAUUUAAAUUUUAAAAAAUGUUUCAUAAUUAUUUAUUAACUGUAUUUUUUAAUUAUUUUGUUUAAAUUCGAAAAAGUUAUUUUGUAACUACCCUAUCAAUUAGUUUAUUUGAAUUCAAAAAAAUUGUUAUGUAACUACUCUAUCAAUUAUUUUUUAUAAAUAUUUUAUUAAAAUCUUAAGAAACUAAUAACUACUCUAUUAACUAAAAAAAAAACAAAAUAAAAUAUUGAUAUGAGAGUAAAUUAGGAAAAAAAAUUACAUAUACUUAAAAACAUUUAAGGAGAAAAAUUUCUUUAUAUAUCUAUAUCUUCUAUAUAUAAAUGGGACUCUUUAACUUUCAAUUUUUUUUUCUAUUUUAUUCUUAUAUUAAUAUUUAUUUUAUUUCAUUAAUAUUUACAUUGCGUCAUUUCUUUUUUUUUUAAACUUUUUAAAUUUUUAAAUUUUAAAUUUUCAAAAUUUUCAAACCCUAAAAUCUUUUUUAAACACUUCAAAAAUUUUAAAUGUUUAAAAUUCUUAAAUUUUUAAAUUUUAAAAAAAAUUAAAUUUUAAAAACUUUUAAAUUUUAAAUUUUCAAAAAUUUUAAAAUUUUUGAACCUAAAGCUUUUUCCGAAACACUUCAAAUUUUAAAUUUUCAAAAUUUUAAAUUUUAAAUUUUCAAAAAUUUUGAAAUUUGAAAAUUUCUUUAAAGUUUCAAAUUUUGAAAUUUCAAAAUUUUCAAAUGUUUUUAAAUUUAAAACUAAAUAAUUGAAGGGUUUAUAAACCAAUCAAACCUUUUUUUUUUCUAUUUUCAUAUUCAAAAUAUCAUAAGUCGUUUCAUUUCAAGAACUACGAAAUCAAAUUAACCAUGUUUUUCAAUGGCUUCUACAGUGUUGGCGCUCGCAAAUUCGUAAGUAUGUGUAUAAUUAUUGUUUUUUGUUUCUUAUAAUAAUUGCUAAAUCCAUUCCAUUAACAACGAUUCUCCAUUUUUUGUUUCAUCGAAACUCUCUCAAAUUGAUCUUUUGGUCUCAUUAUCUUUUCUCUCUAUUCUUUGUAUCUUUCUUCUUCCUUAAUCUCUUUUAAUUUUAUUAUAUAUAUGCGAUUUGCAAUUGGAAGAACUUGCAUGAAGAACUUGCCCGCGUUAUGGCUUGAGAUUUGCAAGCUAUUGUGGGAUGCACCAUUGCACCAGCCACCACUAUGAACAACCCAAAUCUCAUUCUUUCUCAAGGUUUUUGUGCUAAACAAGAUGACUUACUUUGUGAUUUUCAUAAAUUUCCAAAACGUGCUUAAUGAAUUGAAAGAGAUUUUCAAACUUUUCUACCCCGUGUUCAUAAAAACCCUCAUCCCAUCAUUUCAUGUUCCCAACAUAUCCCUCAUAAAAAUGUCAAAGAACUCAAACUAUCAAACAAAGUAAACGAACAAGCACAAGAUUUGCACGACACUGAAGCAUCUAAAUGCAAAAGAAGGUAAGUCAUUCAUCCAACUGAAAUUGAAAAUUCAUAGUCAACUUUUCCUAUCCAUGUUACAAAGACCAAGGUCAAAGACUCAUGGGAAUGUGGAAAAACCAUAAACCAAUGAAUGGUUACACUUUACUCCACAAGAGGACGUUUGUGUUUUCAGAAUUGAAGUGCUCCCAUUUUGCAGAAAAGAAGAGCAAAAAAGAGCAAUUACUAUGUUUUUUCAUGGUGGUCGGGUGUCAGGACAAAAAAACUUCUAAUUAAGGUAAUUGGGGUCAUUGAUGCCAUUGAAAAUGGACCGUCACAAUUUGCCUUCACAUGGUGCAAGAGUUACACGGUCAAAAAGAUCGAUACUUUUAGGAGUCUGUGGUGUAAAGAAACUCAACAAAGCAUCAACAUGAUUCUUUUGGGCAUUUCUUUUAUCAUUAAAGGGGUUAUGCCUUUGGUCUCCUUUGGAGAAUUGUGUGUUCCUACAUAUUUUGAGAUUAUUAUUUUGUAAUCACCUGGUGAUGAGUGUGCAUCUUUCCAUUGGAAAACAUGGGGAAUGUGAGAAGACUAAACUUUUGGUUUAAGGGAACUCCAUUAUAAAACUUUGAUUCAUGUUAGCAAUGAGAAUGGAAGUAAUAAAAUUAACAAAGUAAUGUUAAAGGAAAGAGAGUGAGAAAGGUAAAUGAUGUUUGCUCUCAAGGUAUAAGAGCAAGUACUAUACACUAAUAUUGUUUUGUAUUUUUUUUUUCACUUUUACUAAUAAUAUAAGUGUGAUGUGUAAAUAAUAAUAUUGUUUAUUCAAUUUUACUAUUAAACAUAAUUAUAUAAAAAUAAAAAAUGCGGAUACACAGGCACAUGAGUGCCUGUGUUCCCGCUAGUAAUAUUAAUAAUAAUGUUAAUAAUAAUAUUAAUAAUAAUGUUAAUAAUAAUUUAAUAAUAAUGUUAAUAAUAAUUUAAUAAUAAUGUUAAUAAUAAUUUAAUAAUAUGAGUAUAAUUUAUUUUAUUAUUAUUAAUAAUAAUUAUAUUAAUAUGUAUAAAUUAUAUUAAUAAUAAGUAUAAUAAAAAUGAUAAUAUGACCAAAGAAUUUGGCUGGUCUAGUGGUUAAUGCAAAAUCAAUAUAAACAAAACAAUAAUAAAAUAUAAACUAAUUUUAAACUAAUUACUACAAGAAAAUCAUGAAAUAUAAACUAAUUUUAGAAACCAUUUAACAAUAAUAAAAACUAAUUUAGAAACCAAAAUUUUUUUUAGUCUUUAAAAUGGUUUCUAAUUUAGUCACUAUAGCAACUAAGUAUUUUUUGUCUCUAAAAUUAGUUUCUAUUUCAUGAUUUUCUUUUAGUGAAUAGGAACUUUAAAAAGUGUUACGUGGCAUGUUUUCAUUGGUCCACAGGUAAUGUGUUGAUUGGUGCACAUUUUAUUAUUUUGGGUAUUAAAUAUUUUAAUUUUUUGACAAAAAAACCUUGUAUUAUUUAUAGAAAUAGAUAUUGUAUUAUUUGUAGAUAUAGAUUUUGAUCUAUAAUUCUAUUUGGUCUGAAUAGUCAUCAAAUCUUAAUAUAAUUCAAAUCUUAAUUUGUUAUAUGAUUCAAAUGAGAUUUGUUUGAGUUAGAUAAGAUAAAUAAUGAAUGCAUGGAGAAGAGAGUGAGAGAACUAGAUAAGAUUUAGAGUAUAUAAAUUACAAGAAAAUCAUGAAAUAAAAACUAAUUUUUAGUGACAAAAAAUAAUUAGUUGCUAUAAUGACUAAAUUAUAGACCAUUUUAGAGACUAAAAAAAUUUUGGUUUCUAAAUUAGUUUCUAUUAUUGUUAAAUGGUUUCUAAAUUGGUAUCUAAUUAACAACUAAGGUUUUUGCUACCAAAUUUAGAAACUAAAUAAUUGGUAUUUAAAACAUUAGUUGCUAAUUAGAUACCAAUUUAGAAAUCAUUUAACAAUAAUAGAAACCAAUUUUUGUUUUUAGUUUCUAAAAUGGUUUCUAAUUUAGUUAGUGUAUCAACUAUUUUUUUUUCUUUCUAAAAUUGGUUUCUAUUUUAUGUUUUUCUCGUAGUGAUAUCAGUGGAAUGUUUGCCUCUGCUAUGAAAUAUGUACUUUGAUAUUGUGAUUAUUUAAAUAUUAUAUAUAAUAUAAAUAUAUUCAUUGUCUAUAAAAUAAAUAUUUAUUUUAUGAGUUUUUAUUUUCUUAUCUACAAAUAUAUUAAAAAUAAAAUGUUCGGUGCAAUACAUGACAGUAACACACAUUUGACGCUGCAAACGUGGCAAUGACGUGACAGAGUGAGAUUGUGUGCGAAUGAGCAACGCGAGCUUCAAAAUAGAGUAAAAAAAGAAUAUACUACAUCGGUUCUUAGUAACAACCGGUGUAAUAUAUAUAUAUAUAUAUAUAUAUAUAUAUAUAUAUUUUAUUUUAUUUUAUUUUACUCAAAAUGACCCAUAUUACAUUGGUUAAGUCAUCUAACUGAUGUAAUAUAUGGCUCAUAUUAAAAAAAUGAUUUUUUUCAUAAAGAGUGGGUAAGUCAUAAACGUCACAUAGGUAACCACUUAGAAGCACACGGGUAACCAGUUUUGCGUGUGCCAGUAUAUGUGGAGGAACUUGUGGCUGGGUAGCCAGUUCUAGUAAAGUUAUUACAUCGGUUAAGUCAUCUAACUGAUGUAAUAUAUGAUUUUUACAUUGGUUAAGUCAUCUAACCGAUGUAAUAUAUGAUUUUUACAUUGGUUAAGUCAUCUAAUCGAUGUAGUAUAUGAUUUUUAUUAAAAAAAAUGAUUUUUUUUCAUGAAUACUGGGUGGCCAUAAACGUCACAUAAGUAACCACUUACAGACACCCGAGUAACCAGUUUUGCGUGUGUCAGUAUAUGUGGAGGAACCUGUGACUAGGUAACCAGUUCUGGUAGGGGUUAUUACACCGGUUAAGCCAUCUAGCCGAUGUAAUAUAUGCUUCUUAUUAAAAAAAUUGAAUUUUUUUCAUGAAGAGUCGGUGGUCAUAAGCGUCACAUAAGUAACCACUUACACACAGGGGUAACCAGUUUUGCGUGUCUCACAUAAGUAACUACUUAAAGACACACGGAUAACCAAUUUUACAGAUCAUAUAUUAUAAUAUAAAGUCAGUGUUACAUCCUCACCAAAUGUCAUGUUUGCUGCGUCAAUUAAUAUCACGAAAACGGUAUAAGUAUGUGUUUGUGGCAUAAAGGAAGUUAAGAAAAACAUUUUUCAUACAUUUAUUGGAGCGAGAGAAAACUUUCUAAAAAUCCUGUUACAAAUUAUAUGAAGUUUUGAUAUUUUUAAUUUAUCUCAUAACGCAAGGUUAAUUUUUUAAGUUGUUUUCACUAAAUAAUUGUUUUUAAAACUAUUUUAGUAUAAUUAAAUGAAUGCAUAAAAUAAGUACGACGUACAUACAGAGAAUAUGUUAUUUCAGUACAAAUGUAUUAAAAAAUAUACUUACCUAUGAGAGAGAGCUUUUUUUUAUCAGCAAAUAUUAUAAUUCACUUUAGGAUAAAAAUAAUGAUACAAGACGUUUAUUAUAUCAUAAAUUUAUUUUUAUUUUUACACUUGUAUCAUUAUUGAUGUUCAUAGAAAGGCAAACAUGAUGCAUCCAUAAUUACCGAAUCUGGAAAUGGUUAAGUGCAGGAAGGAAGAGGAGAACCACACAAGCACUUGUUGUUGGCAUAAGAAGAAACGUCAAACCUUUUCAAGUUCCCACCUUGAGGAAUCUCACCGCACAGAUUGUUGAAGCUCACAUUUAAACUUUGCAGAAACUUUAGCUGCGUUAGUCCCUGAGGUAGCGUCCCAUAGAUACGGUUGUUCCUCAGAUCCAACCCGUUCAAGUUCUUUGACAACCCCACUUUCCCCAAAUCAAAAGCAAGAGAGUUCUUCGCCAGAUGUAUCUUCUUCGUGUUCUUAUCUGACCCGAACAACACCGACGCGUCACCCUCCAGCAUGUUCCGAGACAAGUCAACGAACGCCAG
rnacentral:lncRNA from 1 species